AGGAAGUGAGGGCGCCGCGGACCUGUCCGGCCGUGCGCAUGCGUCGCGCGCCCGCCCCGCAAGGUAAAUCCUCGGCCUUCCUUCCCCGCCCCUCUUCCCCCCGCCCCUCCUGAAGGGGGCGUGGCGAGGCCGGAGACAGGUGGUCCUGCGCCGGAGGAAGGAGAGGAAGGGGGCGCGGCCACCGCCUCCGCGCCCCCCGCCCUCCUUAAAGGAGCAGCAUCGUCGCGCCGAGAUGGCAUCUGGGUGGGUCAGAGUCUUGCAACCUUCUCAUCUUACACUGGGAAAACUGAGGUUCAGAGGUGGGGGUAAGCUGCUUCAGGUCAGCUAACCCGGAAACACCAGGAACUGGAACUCGGAACUCGCCGAUCAGUACUCUUUGUGCUGAACUCAGCGAAGCUGCCACAUCCCACCACCACCACGCCUCAAAUGGCUGGGCUGGCGAGCAAGCCUUUCCCCCGCUCCAGGUACUGAACCUCACUCCCGCUCCCCGGCAAAGCAGAAGCGCGGGCCGACUCCCCAGAGCCUAGAAGUGCACCGUUAUCGCCUACGAUGGUAUCGUGGAGACACCCUGGGGAGAUGUUAAAUGAUCAGUCUGAGGACAGAAAUCAGGCGCCACUUGAGACUUGUACCUUGCCACGCAUGGCUCUAAGAGAUAAAUGAGAUGUUACAGAGUUACGCUCUGGGCAAAAAUGUCGAGGGCGGGGGGCAGAGAAUUUGGAUGUGGCCCAGGGCACAGCAUCUUAUUUCCAGAAUCUCUCUUCACCCUGGAACAUAAAUGCUCCCUCUUUACAUAUCAAAACAGAACAUUCCAUCCAGCUAGUUCAUCCUAAUCCUGCUAUGACACUGAUUUUUUUCAUUAACACUAAAGUGUAAAUGAUUACAAUGUUACCUUUACCUGGAAUAUUUUCAGUUUGAUCGGAUAAUUACCAUGGAAGUAAAUGGUUCGAAAUAUUUUGGGGUCAAGGCCCCUACUGAAAAUCCCACAAAAGUAGGGGCUUUUCUCCCCCAGAAAAAUGCACAUAUGCACACAAAUUUGCAUACAAUUUCAGGAGAUUUAUGGACCCAGGAAGCCUACCUAUGAAAACCUGACUAUGAACUCUUGUUCUGGUCAAAUAGGUAAAAUCCCAGGAACUAUCCAGGCCUUACCAGAUGUGGUAGCCAAGAAAGCACUCCUUUCCCCAAAUACAGAAGGGCAGCCCUUCCCUUAUUUAGUCUUUUGUCUUCCUCUUGAAUUACCUGGAGACUCCACGGUGUUAGCCAUACUAUAUAGAAAUGUGUUAAGAGUCAAGGAGAGAUUAGAUGGCUUUUAAAAAAAAAAUUUUUUUUUUAGUGUUUAUUUUUGAGACAGAGACAGAGAAAGAGCACGAGCAGGGGAGGGGCAGAGAGAAAGGGAGACACAGAAUCUGAAGCAGGUUACAGGCUCUGAGCUGUCAGCACAGAGCCUGUCGUGGGGCUCAAACUCGUGAACCGCAAGAUCAUGACCUGAGCGAAACUGGACGCUUAACCGACUGAGCCACCCAGGCACCCCGAGAGAUGGCUUUUUGAAGGCAUACACUAAAGGCAAGUGUCAUAGGCCUCAGACUUUUACCCUAAUUUUCAUACUUUAGGAAAAUUUAGGAGUUCUAUACUAUAUUAUAAUCUCUAUCAAUUUCAGUUAAACUAAGGGAGCCAAUAUUUUGCAAACAUUGAUGCUGACAGAACAGUCUUCACAAUCCAAGAACUUUGGUCCGUUUUUCUUACACGCUGAUACACAGUCUUAAACAAUUCUGGUCCACAGAAAUCCACUGUCCUCAAUUUGUGCCAGAGGAAGAAAGUUCAUACACCUGCCCAGUCCCUUAAAUAUGAGCUCUGAGUAACCAUACAUCUCUACCUCAAUAUCCCAACAAAAGCAGAAAUCUCUUCCAUAGUAUCAACCCCAUCCAGUUUAGCUCAAAUAUCUCCCAUUAUGGGGACCUCCUUAUUGCAACGGUCAGCCUCUUCUCCUUAUUGCAAUGGUCAGAGGUUCUUGAGGAACCUCUCCUUUUACACUGAGCAGAAAUCUGAUACCCGACAAUUUUCAUCCAUUGGUCCUAAUUUUAUCCCUGGAGAGCAACACAGACAUGAGACCAGCCUGGGGGAGCUUACAGUCCAGCAAAGAAACGUCCGUUGUUGAAUGAUAACCAUAAAAUAAGAUGAAUCCUGUGAGGAGGGUAGAGCACCCCCUUCAGAGAUACCUUUCUCAUUGUCUGCCCCAGAUCCCUGGCCUGUGACAGAACUCACAAGUAAGCUCUACCACUACACUACCCCAUGUGGGAUAUCCUGAAAGAGGGAACAGAAGACAAGACCUUCAGAGCAGUGCUGAACUUAUCCUUCCUCAAUCCUUUCUUUGUCACCCUGCAUGAAUGUAAUCCCAUUUCAGCUGAGGUCAAAGCUUUCAAAGUUUUAUGUUGAAAAAAACAAGCAGAAGGAUGCAAAAAAAAAAAAGAGGUUUACAUAAGAACCCCAGGCUCUCGAUGAUUUAAUCACUGUGGCUUGUUAGCAUUUUUUUUUUUUUAGUCCUUCCAAUGUGCCAGGCACUGUACUAAGCACUUUGCUUGCUUUUCCUCUUUUGCUUUUUACAACCACCCUAUAUGGUACUAUUAUGACAUCCCCCUUAUAAAUGAGGAAACCAAGACUCAGUAGGAGAUCCAGGAUUCAAACCCAAUCUGUCAACUCCACCGUGUGUUUCUGCAUUUCUAUAAACUUGACUCUGCUUUUGUAAAUUUCAGAAGUUCCUGAUCUCUUCUUCAAAUGUUGUUUCCUUUGAAAACUUUAUUACUAAAUCAACUUUAAAACAUUAAGGGGCACCUGGGUGGCUCAGUCGGUUAAUCGUCCGACUUCAGCUCAGGUCAUGUUCUCACGGUUUGUGAGUUCGAGCCCCACAUCAGGCUCUGUGCAGCAGAGCCUCCCCCACUCACACUCUGUCUCUUUCAAAAAUAAAUAAAUAAACAUUUAAAAAAAAAUUUAAACACUAUAAACAAAUUGUUUCACUUACUCAUUGAUUCAUUCCAUCAAUACACAAUUUUGCCACCCUACUGCGUCCUAGGCACCACGCUGAGGGUCUAGAUUGGAGGUCAACAGAUGUGUGGUACCUGCCCUGGCAGGGCUCACAAUUUCACGAGAGAAAGAGCUGUAACCUCAGAAUUACAACACAGCAUCAUUCGUUGUCAUCUAGGAGAGUGGAAGAACCAACACUCCCUGGGACAGUUGUGAAGGCUUCAGACCGGAUGCACUUGGUCUUGAAGAGACUGGGGGAGGGGACGAGAAGAAAAGGCACAUGGGCAGAGAGGAAGGGGAGUUUAUGACAUGCUGGAGGUAAGGUUGGGCGAGUGUGACUGUGCAGGCCCUCCUCAAACACCAUGCUAAGAAGUUUGAACUUGCCUCCUGAAGGCAAUAACAAGUUAACAGAAACUUCUCAGCAAGGGAGAGACAUGAUCAGAUGCGUUUUCUAUCAAGGUCACUCUGACGACAGUGUCCAAUGCGGACUAUGGUGGGAAGGAGAAUUGAGGUCCGCAGACCGCUGAAGCUUUUGUACAGUCCAGCUGACAGAUAAUUAGUGCCUGGUUUAGGAAGCUAGCAAUGGAGAGGGAGAAGGGGCACCAGAAUUAGGAUACUCCUGUCGAAUCUCCAGGAGUUUGUGACUAGCUGAAUCUGGGCAAAGUAGCAGCAGGAGCUGUGGAACCUGACCCUGAGGUUCCUAGCUUAGCAGACCCAUCAGAAGGUGACACCAUUCAAUCCCGAUACCUUUACACAGUUUUCCUUCCUGUCCUCUCCCAACCUUUAUUCACGUCAAUGCACACUGCUUCCAUUACUAUUUCAGAUACGUGCAACUAUUUCCCAAUGCCAUUUCAUAUUUCUACAGUCACAUUUAUCAUUUUAAUGGCGGCAGAAUAUUGCAUCACGUUGAAAUAGCUCAAUUUCCUUCGGUUGCUAAAGGUUCACACCCUGCAUGCCUGGUUUACCCUGGACUCAUUCGGUUCUGAGCAUUUUGCAAGAGAUGAGUUGAGUGAGGAAAGAGAGCCUUUAGGUGAAGGGUGUCAGAAAAGUGUGCCCUCAAGAGUCAGCCAAGCUGCAACUCUCAUGGGAGAGUACUGAGAGAAUGUACUGCAUCGGAGAAGAUGCAGAGCUGUGACAUCAGCCUACCAUGUAUUCACUCACCCAACAAUGCUUUCUUGUGAAGCAGAGAGACAAUACAACAGAACUGAAGCCACCUGGCCGAGCCAGGGUCUGAAUCCUGUUCUACUGCUUAUACAAGUUCUCCAACCUCUCAGAGCUUCAGUCUCCCCCUCAAGUUUGUGGUGAAGAUUAACCUGGAUAAAAGUUACAAAAUGCUUGGGACACAACUAAGCAUACAUUAAGUUCGAUAAUAAUUUUCAGUCUUGGUUCCCUCCAUAUGCUUUCUUGACUUCCAUCAUUUUCAGAGUUUCUGAACAAACCCACCAGGCAACAAUGCAUGUAUUAGAGUUCAGAGCCUGAAUCUGCCAGGGUGAACCAGGACCACUCACAUGACCUCUCUAACCUUUCAUUUCCCAUCUGUGAAAUGGGCAUAAGAACAUCCAUCACAGGAAUGUUGCAAAGCUCUCAUAAGUACUGUCAGUAUAGGAAUAUAUGUUCAAAGCCCCAAAGCAUAAUGUCAUUAAUGCCUAUUACUGCUGUUAUAGACAUUGCUGUAUCCUUGGUUUCUUCCCAUUAAAAAAAAAUGACUUCCACCUAAGUUCCUUGGACUGCAGUUCUGGGUUAAAGGAUCUGAAUAUCGCUAUGGUUCUUGAUUUGCGUUGCUUGGAUUGCCCUUAGAGAGGACUCUUGAUGGUGCUACCAUGGUUAAUUCAAAUAUGACAUAUUAGUCCUCAACCUAACAUUCAGGGACUUCUAUCAACGGCUUCCCUCCUCCUCUUGGUGGAAACAAUGAACACUGAAUCCUUGAGGAAAGAGGCACCCUCCCAGACAUUUCCAGGACGGCCAGCGGUUCGAAGGCUAAGGACUAGGACUCCAGCGUCCGGCCUGAUGGCUGAGCAUGCAGUGGGCGAGUUUCCUGAAUGCAGAAGAGGACACAGGAAUGAGGCCUGGGCAUCCCCAGACAGCACUCGAAGCCUGUCCGCCAUGAAAGAUGGCAUCAGAGCUGCUACUCAAAAGAAACAAAGUACAAAGCCAACAGCUCAAACCUAACACACUCCUGUUAUUUAGCAAAACAUUAGCCAAUCUCCCAGGAGCCAUAAAGUUGUCCUUAAGGCCGUAUUUCCUCAGAGUUCCAAGGCUCUAUGAACCUCCAUCACAUUCCCAAAUGUAACAUUUCUCACAGGUGGGCAGUUCCACGGGGUGACCUACAGGAAGGCGGUAAGCUCUCGCAGCCUUGCAUCGCUGGUCCUUCCCUGCGCCUCAGAUGUGCCUUCUAGCCUCCUCAAGUGCCUGUUUCUUGGCCUUCAGGUUCAAGGGUCACCUCCUCAAAGGGGUCCUCCCGGUCACACCUCCCUCACCUCCCUUCAGUCAUUCCUAUGUGCCACCGGCAUUUUUUUUUUCCUUCACGGUAAUUUGUAUAACCUGUAAUUAUUUUUAUUUUUUUAGCUUAAAAGUGUUGUUUUUUUUUUUAAUUUUUUUUUCAACGUUUAUUUAUUUUUGGGACAGAGAGAGACAGAGCAUGAACGGGGGAGGGGCAGAGAGAGAGGGAGACACAGAAUGGGAAACAGGCUCCAGGCUCUGAGCCAUCAGCCCAGAGCCCGACACGGGGCUCGAACUCACGGACCGCGAGAUCGUGACCUGAGCCGAAGUCGGACGCUUAACCGACUGUGCCACCCAGGCGCCCCAGCUUAAAAGUGUUUUUAAAAAGCCUCCCAUAGGGCACCUGGGUGGCUCAGUCGGUUAAGCAUCCGACUCUUGAUCUCGGCUCAGAUCACCCAUCUCACGAUUUAUGGGUUCGAGCCCCACAUCGGGCCCUGAGCUGAUGGCGUGGAUCCUGCUUGGGAUUCUAUCUCACCCUCUCUCUACCCUUCCCCCACUUGCUCUCUGUCUCUCUCUAAAUAAAGUUCAAACAAAAAAGAAAAGAAAAGAAAAGAAAAGAAAAGAAAAGAAAAGAAAAGAAAAAGAAAAGCCUCCCACUAAAACAUCAGCUCUGUGAAGGCAGAGGUGGGAGCUAUUCCGCUCCAACACCUAUCACUGUGCCCACCCAGCUCCUAGGAGACCCUCAAUAAAUGUGUGGAAUGAUUGGGCAAAAAAGGGCGGUUCCCAGCCCCGGACAUCCUUCUUUCACCCUAAACUCUAUGAAGAACAAUGUUGACUGCAGACACAAAAUUGAAAACACAGAUGAGCAAAAGGAAGAAAAUAUAAACACUCAUGAUCCAACCUCCCACCAAGUGGAUCCCCUUCCAAAUGUUUUUUCCUGUAUCUAUAUAAAGAUAAUGCAUAUAUUUUUAUAGAAAUGGCUCCUAAACUGUAAUCUGCUGUGUUUCAUUUCACAGUAUAUCUUAAUCACCUUUCCUUAAUAAAGAUACUUCUGCUGCCUUGCUGUUAAAGGUUCUGGAACACUCAGCCAUGUCACUACACCACAGAGUAUUUAACACAUCUCCCAGUGUUAAACUAAAGGGGAGGUUUCUUCAAUGUCAGUAAAGGUAAAAUGUUUUAAUACAGCACUUCCCUCUUGACAAGCUUCCCGUUUUUUCCUCUGUGUUUGUAUUGCUUUAGUUAGAGCUUGUAUUUGUACAGAACCACACUCCCUACCGCCCAUUCACCACCUGGAGUUAUUAGAGUCCCCAUCAGCUGGAGAAGCAAGAUUGUUUGCAGCCGGCAAAGGUGACGUGUGACGAAGCCAGGACGAUGUCUCGGAGUUCAGUUUGGGAAUCUGCUGCUGAUACAGGCGACAGAAAGAAAGAGCGCCUUUUCUUGCCAAGAUUUUAAUGUAAAAAGAGGAAGAGACUUUCGGCAAGCCUUCACUUCCCCCUCCCAAGCCCUGCCCAGGGGCAAAGUUUUUCCCUGGAGGGAUGGACUGGUUCCCAGGGUUUACUGAGGUCCUGAGCAGUCUGUGGCCCAAAGCCCACUGCACCACUUAGAGACAAAGAACUGGCUGCAGAAAAACCCAAGAGGGCACGCUCGGGAUGCACUGUCCUUUUCCACAAGAAGCAAGUCCAGCCCAUGGCGUGGUUGAGACGCCACUCGGCAUUUUCCAAAAAAAAAGUGUUAAUGUUUGUUUAUUUUUGAGAGAAAAAGAGAGAGAGAGAGAGAGAGAGAGAGAGAGCAUGAGUGGGGGGAGGGGCAGAGAGAGAGGGAGACACAGAAUCCAAAGCAGGCUCCAGGCUCUGAGCUGUCUGCACAGAAGCCGAUGCGGGGCUCCGGCUCACCAACCAUGAGAUCAUGACCUGAGCCAAAGUUGGGCGCUUAACUGAGCCACCCAGGCCCCCUGCCACUUGGCAUUUUUGGCUCUGAUGGUGGUCAGGUCACUGCCCUCCGGAAGGAAGGACCUUGCCACACAGACACAACAGACCCCAUUCCAGCAGGACUGGUCAGUGCUCAAGGGCACUGGCUGCCUUGCCCACCUGCCACCUCCACCAUGGCUGGGCCACCUUACCAAGCUGUGCAGGCACAGGAGGGGGUCACCUGAACAAGGGGGCGAGAUGUCAUCAAAUCAGAAAUGGCACCGGAAGACAGGAGGGAGAGAAACAGCUGGUGGGGGCGUCUGUUCCUGGACCUCAAGUCAUUGUGACCCAGAAACCCAAACAGAGGUCCAUCUCUGCUGCCCCACCCAUCUUAAUACAGCUCUCCAUCCGAGUUAGAGGAAAAACUUUCCCAGCAAAGAACAAGAAUCCCCUAAUUGUGUCAAGGGUCAUGAAGUUAAUCCAUGCCAUUUUAAAAAGCUUCUUCAUGGGGUGCCUGGGUGGCUCAGUCGGUUAAGCACCCAACUCUUGGUUUAGGCUCAGGUCAUGAUCUCGUAGUUUGUGGGUUCAAGCCCCAUGUCGGGCUAUGCACUGACAGUGCAGAGCCUGCUUGGGAUUCUCUCUCUCUCCCUCUCUCUGCACCUCCCCUGUGUGCUCUCUCUCUUUCAAAAUAAAUGAGAAUAAACUUUAAAAAAAUAAUAAUAAAAAAAAAUAAAAAGCUUCUUUGUGUGUUUUACAGAAACACCAUGGUUGGAGAAAAGAGACGGGUUUUUCUUGAAAUUUAAUGGCAAGAUGGAACUACCACCACUCGAUACCUUGGCUCGACUGCUUAGUUUCUGCCGGUUUUGAACAAAAUGAUUUCCACCCAUCUUUAUAAUGACAGUUUUCAC
rnacentral:lncRNA from 1 species